GUGCUUUGGCAGUACAUGUACUAGAAUUGGAACGAUACAGGAAAGAUCAGUACAGCCCUUGUGCAAGGAUGACAUGCAAAUUCGUGUAUUGUUUCAUAUUUUU
ensembl:snRNA U6 U6 spliceosomal RNA